AUUUCUAAUUUUAUGUCCUCUAAUUUCUUAAUAAUUAUGUCCCCUUCUUUUAACUACAGUAUAUUUUGGGUGCUUUAAUGCUUUUGUAUUUUAUUUUGUUAAUUGCAUUUCAUAAUUUAUCACAGUUUGAUAAUUGAAUUUGCUGAAAACUGAAAAGGUUAGCUAGCUUCUGUUAUAUGUUAGGUGGAUUGUUAGGGUUACUUUUUGCUUCAAAGAGCCCAAAAUAGUAGAGCAUAAUCAUAUCAUACUAUAAGCACUGCUAAGAGAGAGAUUGUUGGGUUGAGAGGGAGGAGAGGGAGGAGAGAGAAACUGUCAGGUUCUGGAUGUGUAAGAGAGAUAGAAGGGGUGGUUGUGGGAGGAAAAUAAUCAUUGCAUUUCAAUUUCCUUGAAGAGAUUUCAAAACUGUGACAAUAGCUAUCGAGGAUGGUUAUACAUUCAUAAUAGACACUUGAAUUGCAAUUAAUAUAUGCUUUUUCUGGCAUAUCAUUGGUUUAAACUCAUUAAAUUGCCAGUGAUCUCUCAACGAAUGUGUUUUUUUGUAGUUUAGUAUGAGUAUGACUCCAGUUCCAUUAGAUAUUUUGUGAGUUGUGACUAUGUGAUGUAUUCUUUUAUGAGUUGGCCCUUUUACUUCUUUUUUUUGGCAUUGGAACAUUUCAGUAAUUUUAUUUCUAUUUUCUUAACCACGUUUUAUGUGCAGAUUUCUUGGAGUUGGCACUGCAGUUUGGAAAGAUUAUGAUGUUUGAGUGAAUUUCCCCUCACUUUUUCUUUUGUUAUCGUGGCAAGUAAUAUUUGGCCUUAUUUAGCUUGUGAAUUGUGAUGCUUUCUGGAAUUGAAUUCUGCACAUUUCUAUGCUUGACGAGAUUAACUGGGCAAAAACUAGGCUGGUUUCUGACAAUAGUGAGGUUGGCUGCACAAUUACUGAUUUGUGUUAUUUCUUGAAAUCAACUUUUGUUUUAAAUUGAAGAAAUAAAAAUGUGCUCGAUUUUCCAGUCAAUUCUUUACAAAAGAGUGAUAUUAGAUUCAGUUAGUCUCACUUAUGCUUUGGAUCUAAUUUGAUGUCUCGGUUGAAGCAAUCCGCAGAGCAAUUAAAGAGUGAAAUUAAUAAUCUCAAGCCAGAGCUAAGUGCUACAGACACGAAUACACUGGAAGAGCAAAGCAAGUGGGGAAAUGGCCUGAAACUGAAGAUCCAAUAAAGACACAACAACUUGGCUGGAAGAAGAGUUUUACCAUCAUCUAAGGGAUAACAAGGAUUGCUUCAUCUUUUCCGGAUGCAAGAUGUACAAUUAUUCACAGAGAUCUACAUUCUGUUGGAUCAAGAGAUGAAUCCGAAAUUUUUAGGCUUUGGCUACCGUAUACCAGCAGAAGGCAUUAGAUAUCAAUGAAAGGGAACUUGGGCCUGAUCAUCCUGAUACUAUGAAGAGUUACGGGGAUCAUUCUAUUACCGUCUCCAGCACAUUGAAUUAGCACUCAAGUAUGUCAACCGUGCUUUGUUUUUGCUCCAUUUCACGUGUGGACUAUCCCACCCAAAUAGUGUUGUAACUUAUAUAAACGUAGCCAUGAUGGAAGAGGGGAUGGGAAAUGUCAACUUUGCUCUCCGCUAUCUCCAUGAAGCCCUGAAAUGCAACAAGAGGCUCUUAGAAGCUGAUCAUAUCCAGACUGCUGUCAGUUAUCAUGCCAUAGCCAUUGCGCUUUCACUUAUGGAAGCCUACUCACUCAGUGUUCAGCACGAGCAAACUACACUCAAAAUUCUUGAAGCCAAGCUUGGAUUAGAAGACCUUGGAUGCAGCAGCGUGGCUGGAAUAUUUUGAAUCGAAGGUAAUAGAACAACAGGAACUGGCAAGAACUGGAACACCAAAACCGGAUGCAUCCAUUGCUAGCAAAGGGCAUCUUAGAUACUACAAAUGUUUGGCUGAGUUGUUGUAGUUGGAAGUAAUGCAAAUGGUAAAUGUAAGUGUAUCAGAUCUCCUUGAUUUUAUCAGUCCUGAUCAUGAUCCUAAGGGCGGAGAUGCUCAGAAGAACCAUAGGCGUUCAAAGAUAUUGCAAGAAAGCUUAAGAUGGAGGCCAGUUUCAGUUUCCUUCAAACGCAAGAAAGCUUCUUCAGAAAGUAGCUUUUCCAGUUCAGAAGCUUCAGUAUCAUUGCUGAGUCCAUUGAUUUCUAGACCAGAAACUUGAGAAACAUACAUCAACAUUUCUUGCUUCUAGACAAUAUGGAGAACCUGUAGAUCCUACAACAGGCUCUCACUCUCUCAGAAAAGCAUGUUUGCUGUUGGGAUGAUCUGUUGUGAUGGAGAAGACCGCCUGAAUGAGAAUUCAGUCUUAUUACAAAGAAGGUAAGUUUAUAUUCUCUUUAUUGUCAUACUAAUGCUCAAAAAUUACAAGGAAGCGGGAAAGAGAACUUUAAGAUGAAUCGAAUUAAUUCAUGUAUUUUGCUGUGAGUUCGUGUAGAUUUUUGAAGCCAGAAUACAGUUUAUGAUAGGCACUGUUGUCAAAGUGCAGAAUAAUUAAGCAGGUACAACAGUAGCUCCACAACACUUGGUCUUACAGCAGACUGUUGGAUGGCUGCAAUGACAAAUCCCUUCAAAAUUCUGGAAAAUUUGCAGUUCUUCCUCUAAUUUGACAUCAACAAAUCAGAGAAAAUCAACAUACAAGAUUCCAAAUUUCACAGUUCUUUCUUUAUGGAAGUUUCCAAUUCCAGAAACUAGGCUUUGCGAAUCUUUAUGAUCAACAAAUCAGAGAAAAUCAACAUACAAGAUUCCAAAUUUCACAGUUCUUUCUUUAUGGAAGUUUCCAAUUCCAGAAACUAGGCAUUGCGAAUCUUUAUGAUCUUUCAGUUGAUCUUAAAGAAAUGAUGAGGUUUCUGACGAUGCUAACAAGUACAAGAUUUCUAUCCCUUAAUGUAAAUUAUGUCAUUUAACAGUAUGGUUUGAGUAUAACAUAAACUUUAUCCUAAACAGAAAUAAAAUACACAUUGACUGCUA